rnacentral:tRNA from 2 species
GCAUCUUUAGUUUAAAGGUUAAAACAAGAAACUUCGAAAUUCAUAAUAAUGGUUCAAUUCCAUUAAGAUGUU